rnacentral:rRNA from 1 species
UACGUAGGGGGCAAGCGUUGUCCGGAUUCAUUGGGCGUAAAGAGCGUGUAGGCGGCCAGGUAGGUCGGUUGUGAAAACUGGAGGCUCAACCUUCAGAGGUCGACCGAAACCAUCUGGCUAGAGUCCGGGAGAGGAGAGUGGAAUUCCUGGUGUAGCGGUGAAAUGCGCAGAUAUCAGGAAGAACACCCCGUGGCGAAAGCGGCUCUCUGGAACGGUACUGACGCUGAGACGCGAAAGCGUGGGGAGCGAACAGG